rnacentral:rRNA from 1 species
UACGGGGGGGGCAAGCGUUGUUCGGAAUUACUGGGCGUAAAGGGCUCGUAGGUGGCCAACUAAGUCAGACGUGAAAUCCCUCGGCUUAACCGGGGAACUGCGUCUGAUACUGGAUGGCUUGAGAUUGGGAGAGGGAUGCGGAAUUCCAGGUGUAGCGGUGAAAUGCGUAGAUAUCAAGAGGAACACCUGCGGCGAAGGCGGGUUGCUGGGCCGACACUGACGCUGAGGCGCGAAAGCCAGGGGAGCGAACGGG